UGAGUAAACGUGGAAACGUGCCUUUAUGUUCUGAAUAACUCUCGGAAACUUGUGCGUAAUACCUAAUGUGCCCUUCGGAGGAAAGAUUUAUCCCCUUUAGAGCGGCCCGCGUCUGAUUACCUAGUUGGUUGAAGUCAUGGCUCACCAACGCGACGAUCAGUAACUGGUCUGACAGGAUGAUCACCCACAUUGGGACUGAGACACGGCCCAAACUCCUACGGGAGGCAACACUGGCCAAUCUUGCGCAAUGGGCGAAAGCCUGACAACAUCCCUGCCGCGUGAAUGAUCAGAGUCUUAGGAUUGUAAAAUUCUUUCACCGGGGACGAUAAUGACGGCACCCGGAGAAGAAGCCCCGGCUAACUUCCUGCCACCAGCCGCGAUAAUACGAAUGGCGCUAGCGUUGCUCGGAAUUACUGGGCGUAGAGGGAACGUAUGCGACAUUUAAUUCACGUGUGAAAUCCCGGGGCUCAACCUCGCAACUGCCUUUGAUACUGGGUGUCUUGACUAUGAUAUACGUGUGUGGAACUCCGAGUGUAGAGGUGAAAUUCAUACAUAUUCUCAAGAACACCAGUGGCAAAGGCCACACACUGGCUCAAUACUGACUCUCAAGCUCGAAUCCGUGGGGAGCAACAAGAUUAAAUACCCUGGUAUCCACGCCGAACACGAUUAUAGCUCCUUGUCGGCAUGCAUGCAUUUCGUUGACGCUACUAACUGCGAUACGCUAUCCGCCUGGGGAGUCGGUCUCAAGAUUAAACUCCCAGGAUUGA
rnacentral:rRNA from 1 species